CCGCACAAGCGGUGGAGCAUGUGGUUUAAUUCGACGAUACACGAAGAACCUUACCUGGUCUUGACAUAGUAAGAACUUAGUAGAGAUACUUUGGUGCUAGCUUGCUAGAACUUACAUACAGGUGCUGCACGGCUGUCGUCAGCUCGUGUCGUGAGAUGUUGGGUUAAGUCCCGCAACGAGCGCAACCCUCGUCGUUAGUUGCUAACAGUUCGGCUGAGAACUCUAACGAGACUGCCUACGCAAGUAGGAGGAAGGUGAGGACGACGUCAAGUCAUCAUGGCCCUUACGACCAGGGCUACACACGUGCUACAAUGGGGUAUACAAAGAGCAGCAAUACGGUGACGUGGAGCAAAUCUCAAAAAUGCCUCCCAGUUCGGAUUGUAGUCUGCAACUCGACUACAUGAAGUUGGAAUCGCUAGUAAUCGUAGAUCAGCUAUGCUACGGUGAAUACGUUCCCGGGUCUUGUACUCACCGCCCGUCACACCAUGGGAGUUGAACUCAUUCGAAGCAGGGAUGCUAAAGUAGCUACCUUCCACAGUGGAUUCAGCGACUGGGGUGAAGUCGUAACAAGGUAACUCUCGUAC
rnacentral:rRNA from 1 species